rnacentral:tRNA from 1 species
UCCCUGAUGGCUCAGAGGUUAAAGCGUCUGCCUGCAAUGCGGGAGACCUGGGUUCGAUCCCUGGGUCGGGAA